GAAACCUUCACCGCUUUAACUCUUUUCGAGGACGACUCUUAUUUUGGAUUAUUUUAUAUGAACCUGAGGGAAUGCGAUUUGAAAGCGUCGAAAAAAGAAAUUGAAAAAAAAAAAGAAGAUGGCGAGUCAUUUGAACAAUAAUUCUGAAGUGGAGGAGGAGCACUCGUCGAAGGAAAUAAGAAGUCAAUGGAUGAGAAAUAGGGGUGGACUCUGGAAGCGGAGACGGUUGUCUCUACAUUCUGGCACGAGCGGGCCCGAGUUUACUGCUACGACCGGCUUCAGUGAGGCAAAAACAAAUGCUUCAGACCGACGUCAUGACAGCGAAAGUGAUUGGCAAAGAUAUUUUCUAGAAAAAAAUUAAGGAAAUUGAAGACAUUGCGGUAUUGAAUUUCACUCAAUCCAAUUAUUCAAAUUACUUUUCUUCAAAAAACAAUAUUUUUUAUUGUAAUUAUAAAUGAAAACAAUGUUGAUGUAUUUACAUUUUAAAUUUACUUUCCUAUAGUUGUAUUUUUUUUAUUUUACAUUAUCCCCUUAUUAUAUUAUAAUUAUCUUUGUUUGUUA